GGAUGAACGCUGGCGGCGUGCCUAAUACAUGCAAGUCGAGCGAACAGACGAGGAGCUUGCUCCUUCGACGUUAGCGGCGGACGGGUGAGUAACACGUAGGUAACCUACCUAUAAGACUGGGAUAACUUCGGGAAACCGGAGCUAAUACCGGAUAAUAUUUCGAACCGCAUGGUUCGAUAGUGAAAGAUGGCUUUGCUAUCACUUAUAGAUGGACCUGCGCCGUAUUAGCUAGUUGGUAAGGUAACGGCUUACCAAGGCAACGAUACGUAGCCGACCUGAGAGGGUGAUCGGCCACACUGGAACUGAGACACGGUCCAGACUCCUACGGGAGGCAGCAGUAGGGAAUCUUCCACAAUGGGCGAAAGCCUGACGGAGCAACGCCGCGUGAGUGAUGAAGGUCUUCGGAUCGUAAAACUCUGUUAUUAGGGAAGAACAAACGUGUAAGUAACUGUGCACGUCUUGACGGUACCUAAUCAGAAAGCCACGGCUAACUACGUG
rnacentral:rRNA from 1 species